GCCAAGCCCGCCAACCACCCAGACCACUGUGGAGCUGUAGAGAUGUAGAGAUCUACACAGAAGUACCCAACAGGACGAAGAGCUGAUCGCGAGACGCACAGCGAAGCAGCCAUACUGGGCUUUCCUGAGAGACCAAUGGAUUUUUCUCUUUCAAAAUAUAUAUAACUCCCAUUGGUUCAUUUGAUUUUGAAGAGGACCGGAUUGGUCAGAUGACUUCCAUUUACGCGGCAUACCGACUCCCUGUUGGGAGUUGGCUGGAGAUGAGGGGACCCUGAAGCCCAGAGGGAUGGACAGAGUGGUGGAGAGAGAGCGGGUGAGAGAGCAGCCUG
ensembl:lncRNA